rnacentral:sRNA from 1 species
UUUAAGCCAUUGCGUUAGGGAUAGAAACGUAAAUCCUUUUUGCAGCUGUCGCCUUGAGGCGGCAGCUGCAAAAAGAUUGAAGUGGAUAGCCCGACAAAGG